rnacentral:rRNA from 1 species
AUGUGUCAAGCCUAUGUUCUCCUCCUAUGCUUCAUUCUUCAAGGUGUUGCAGUUGCUGCUGAUAGAGGCGAGAUAUAUAUGGGCUACGUUGAAAUUUGUCAUAGUAAGUAUCCGCUCCUAAUAGCAAUCUUUAUAUCAUGUUUGGUCUUCUCAUCCUUCUGUUUUUCCAUUUACUACUACAGGCUCAACAAAGCCUCACCUUCCAUGCAGUACAAUUUAUUACUUCUCCCUAUAGUUGGGCCAAUGCCAAAAGACAAACACAGGAAGGCUAGAGCCAAAAUACUCAAACUUCAAGCACCCAACAACAUAUGGUCACCACCCAGCGCUGGAUCCGCUCCCCAAGACUAA